GAAGUGUAGUUACAAACCUUGUCACUAUACUUUUAACCAAUUAAGCUUUUUUGGUGAACCUUCUUAUUAUGUUAAGGGUGAUGGUAUGGUUGUGGAUGAAUCCAAUAAGAAAUUGUCCUCUUCGGAUGACCUUCUUAACAAUAGGCAAUUUUCCAAUAUCUUAUAGCAUUAAAUCCACACAAUGGACAAUACAUAGAGUCCAAAUGAUAUUAGGAUACUUGUCUUCUAAAUAUUUUCCUAAUAAAAAAAUAAAUGAAUCACAUUAUAUGACAACAUAUAAUUAAUAUUUCAAUUUGGAUAAUGAAAAUUAUAAAAUUCUUAUCCGGCAAAACAUAGUUGCUAUCAUUGUCAUUCAAAGCUUGCACAAUAGUUUUCUCUUCAAUUUCUUGAACAAAUGUGUCCAAAAGUUUAAAUAUUUUCAAUCUAGUCUUAAUAUAGCUUGAACCAUCAAUACUCCUUACGAACAUAGUCCCACCUAGAGUGUUGACCCAUAAAUUGAUCAAUAUCCUAACCUUUUAAUCCACCCAUGCAUCUGACAUGAUAGAUCAUUCGUAUUGAGUUUGCUCUAUUACAAGUCCAUGUAACAUUUUCUUUGUGAGCUCUAGUUAUUUUUUGUUUUGUUUUUAGCAAUGUAACUCUAAUCUCAUGGUAACUUGGAGGCUUUAAGUGUGCUCCAUAUUUUUCAAUCGCUUCAAUCAUCAACUUGAAGAUUUUUAGACUUCACAACAUUAAAAAGAAUAUCAUUCCCAUAAAAGAAACGACCAAUGUAUUGAUUAGUUAAUUCUCUUGUCUCUUUCUCACACGCAUAUUUUAUCGAUGUUUGACAUUUGUCCAUUGCUAUUGUCAUUUUCUGAGAUACCUCUAGAUUUUUAAACAUAUGCACAUCCAUAUGGCCUUUAACAUUCGUCUUGGCAAUACCUAUUGCAUACUUUUUUCCUGCCCGAACAUUUACAAUUACUUGCAAAACAUCAUCAUCCUACUCAUCGAUAUUAAUCUCAGCCAUAUAAGAAUCAUUAGUUGUUUGCUUUUUCUCCUAAGCCUCCUUGAGUUUGAGUAUUAUAUCAGCCGAUGUUUACCUACAAAGAACUACUUAUCCCUUUAUCCUAUAUGAUGCCAUUUUGCUCUCAUAAUACCUCAUUUCGAAACCUUCCCACAAAAAUCACAAGUAACGACCUUCUUGUCAUUAUAUCCCCCAAAGAAUUCCAUUGCUAAGCCAUGUCAAGGUUUUCACCAGUUGAUUUAGACAACCCUUUGUUGUUGGUGUUGCAGAUGAAUAUGCAAUUCUCCUUACAAAACCAAAGUAGAAGAAAAAAAAGAGCAAAACAAAAUUGUUUAUGAAAUAGAGGAAGAAAACGAAACUGAAAUAGAGGAAGAAAACGACAAUGGAAAACAAAACAAAUGAAGAAAAUAAAAUUGUAACACUAUACCAAAGGACGCAAAAUGAUGGAGGAAACGAAGAAACAG
rnacentral:lncRNA from 1 species